UGUUUCCAAGCCAAAGUCUCAAGUCUCUACAUCUAACAAAAAAAAUGUCUGAAGUCUCUAACUCCAAGAACUACUCUCUCUGUAAACUAAUAUAAGAGAGUUUGAAUAGGGAGUACUAUAUAUAACCACCCAAAUGAUCUCUCCUUCUUCAUUCAAGAUCACAAGCCUGACAACAUCUCCACCUCUCUCCCAGCACCAGAGUCAUCUUUGCUAGUUCAUUGCAGCAACAUCCGUGGACGAAGCAAAUGGCAGUUACUCUGAAGCUAAGGAUCCUUGCUGUGGCGGCAGCCGCCGCCGUCAUGGUCGGCACGGUCUCUGCUGCCGAUGGACCAGCUCCCGCGCCUGCCUCUGGCGCGUCGGCUGCCGCCCCGGCUGUCGCCAUGGCAUCCCUGACCGCGCUUGUUUUCGGCUACUUCUUCUGAGGCCAUGUACUCGUGCGCGCAAUUAUUUGGGAUUUUUCUUUGGUUCCUCUCGUGUUCAUACAUGAUAUAGGAGCAGCCAUGGCCAACGACUAACGCCGCCUCGCCCGAAUCAGGCCGGAAUCGACCUCCUGCAGCCGGAUCCGCGCCAUCCCGACCUCGCCGGCCUUCCUCCCCGUCUUCAUCGCGAUCCAUCACCGGGCUCGAAGACAAUCCCAUUAUGUAGCAGCAACCGCUGCCGCCGCCAGCAGCAGCAGCAGCAACAGGCGCGGCCGAGAUCGGCGGAGACGGGGGAGCAUGCACGCGCUCCCCGACUCACCCCAUCUGCGCGCACGUUCGCCAUCACAGGCGCCGGCGGCUACCGCGCCACGGAGGUGCUGGACACAUGGCAGCCCAUGCUGAAGGCGGACGUCUACUCCCUGGGAGUGCUCCUACUGGAGCUCCUUACCUGCAAGUCCCCGACACACGCAUCCAUGUAGGACGAUGUCGGCGGCGCGCUCGACCUGCCGUACGUUGUUGGUAUAGUCGGUGGUGCGCGAGGAGUGGAUGGCUGAGGUGUUUGACGUGGAGCUCGUGCGGCUGGGCGCCAUCACCGAUGAGGAGAUGGCUGCGCUGCUGCAGGCACCCGUAGAGCUAUGGGCAUAGAGGCAGCAACUCGAAACUCCAUGAUUUGCACACAGCAGCACAACGCCACGGUCUGCAUGCGGCAUGACCAACUCCACUCAGAUUAAAAUUAUGUAGCUGUAUACGAUCCUCCCUUUUGUUCAGGUUUCCAUGAUUUUUUCAGUUGAAUUCAGUUGCAGAUUCAUUCAACUCAUCUCCAUUGCCACACACAGAAAGGCUCUGAUUUUUAUUUUUCUCUGCAAAUUGUAACCAUUUUUCAUAUCACACUAAGCAGGCACCACUUGUCAAUUUUA